rnacentral:rRNA from 1 species
GAUGAACGCUGGCGGCGUGCCUAAUACAUGCAAGUCGAGCGAACAGACGAGGAGCUUGCUCCUCUGACGUUAGCGGCGGACGGGUGAGUAACACGUGGAUAACCUACCUAUAAGACUGGGAUAACUUCGGGAAACCGGAGCUAAUACCGGAUAAUAUAUUGAACCGCAUGGUUCAAUAGUGAAAGACGGUUUUGCUGUCACUUAUAGAUGGAUCCGCGCCGCAUUAGCUAGUUGGUAAGGUAACGGCUUACCAAGGCAACGAUGCGUAGCCGACCUGAGAGGGUGAUCGGUCACACUGGAACUGAGACACGGUCCAGACUCCUACGGGAGGCAGCAGUAGGGAAUCUUCCGCAAUGGGCGAAAGCUUGACGGAGCAACGCCGCGUGAGUGAUGAAGGUCUUCGGAUCGUAAAACUCUGUUAUUAGGGAAGAACAAAUGUGUAAGUAACUAUGCACGUCUUGACGGUGCCUAAUCAGAAAGCCACGGCUAACUACGUG